rnacentral:rRNA from 1 species
UUGGUGAGGUAACGGCUCACCAAGGCUAUGACGGGCACUUGGUUUCAGCGGAUGGCCAGCCACACGGGGACUGAGAUCGGCCCCGACUCCUACGGGAGGCUCAGUGGGGAAUCUUGCAGAUGGGCGAUCCCUGAUCCAGCGACGCCUCGUGCUCUGGGAAGCCCUUCGGGGUGUAAACCGCUGUCGGGGGGAAGAACCCGGUUCGGGCGAACAGUUCGGAUCGCUGACGGUACCCUCAAAGGAAGCGCCGGCUAACUCCCUGCCACUUUCCGCUGUAAUAUCGAGGGCGCGAGGGUUGUCCGGAAUUACUGGGGGUAAAGGGGGCGCAUGCGGCCCGGUCACUCCUAUGUGAAGCCCCACGGCUCAACCGUGGAAUGCCAUGGGAUACUGCCGGGCUACAAACGGGUAGAGGCGAGCGGAAUUCCCGGUGUACCCGUGGAAUGCGUAAAUAUCCGGAAGAACACCAGUGGCGAACGCGGCUCGCUGGGCCCGUUCUGACCCUCAGGCCCGAAAUCGUGAGUAGCAAACAGGAUUAGAUACCCUGGCGUCCACGCCGUAAACGUUGGGCAUAUGUGCUGGGAGGUGUGACCUUUCGGUGCCUUGCUAACGCGUUAAGU